GAUGAACGCUGGCGGCGUGCCUAAUACAUGCAAGUCGAGCGAACGGACGAGAAGCUUGCUUCUCUGAUGUUAGCGGCGGACGGGUGAGUAACACGUGGAUAACCUACCUAUAAGACUUGGAUAACUUCGGGAAACCGGUGCUAAUACUGGAUAAUAUUUUCAACCGCAUGGUUCAAAGGUGAAAGACGGUUUUGCCGUCACUUAUAGAUGGAUCCGCGCUGCAUUAGCUAGUUGGUAAGGUAACGGCUUACCAAGGCAACGAUGCAUAGCCGACCUGAGAGGGUGAUCGGCCACACUGGAACUGAGACACGGUCCAGACUCCUACGGGAGGCAGCAGUAGGGAAUCUUCCGCAAUGGGCGAAAGCCUGACGGAGCAACGCCGCGUGAGUGAUGAAGGUCUUCGGAUCGUAAAACUCUGUUAUUAGGGAAGAACAUAUGUAUAAGUAACUGUGCACAUCGUGACGGUACCUAAUCAGAAAGCCACGGCUAACUACGUG
rnacentral:rRNA from 1 species